rnacentral:lncRNA from 1 species
GGGAGCUGUGUGCCCCUCCGGCCUCAUCUUCAUACAGAAGCAUGAGCAGCAACUCGGUCCCGCAGAAAAAGACCUCACCAGGGCUGCCUGGCCUGGCCUGAGUGUGCAGGCCCUGCCCGUGUCUCCACACGCCAGUCUGGGUGCCCCUGUGUGUGCUGCUACGAGUGUGUGGGGUUGUGCAGGCACCAGUGUGUAUGGAAGCCUGUCUGCCUGUGUGUGUGUGAGUGUGCAGGCUGUGUGUGUGUGUGAAUGUGAGUGUGCUGGCAUGCAGGUGUGUGUUAGUGUAUCUGCUGCAUGUGUGAGUGUGCAUGCAAUCACAUAUGUGUGUAGAUACACCUAUGGAGGUGCACGGGGGUGGGAGUGUGUUGGUGUGUGUGGCAGAGAUAGAGACAGAUCUCCCAGGAACUGGGCUAAGCUUUGAGUUGCGGUGAACAGAGCCACAACCUCUUUAAAGGAAGGAUUUCUUUUCCCUGACUCAGAGGCCCCAAAGCUCUGGCAGGAACUCUCUAGAAAAUCUUACCUCUGGGCAGACAUGGCCGGGCACCAGACAGGGAAGGCUUCAGCCCCCAAGGAGUUGGCAGAGUUGUGAGCAACCCUGCUUUGAUUUAUUCAGUGAACACAAAUGGAAGGGAGCCUAGAACUGAGAAGACCAAGAAGGCCAACCGCCUGCUUCUCCAGGGCCCACGCACACCAAGAUGCGGUGGGAAGUGACCGACUUGCGACAUCACCCAGGAAGGCGCAGCGGGCAGUCUCAGGGCCUACCGCAGCAGGAAGUGGCCCCUCACUGGUGCAGGCAGAGCGGGUGACCGUGAGACUGCAGGAGGUGGAGCUCUGCUCUCCUGGUGCACUGUUCCCACGGCAGGGCUGCACCGGGCCAAACACCCCCGUGCUGCAGUUGGGUGAGAAGUCCUCCGAGGAGUCCCUUAGGCCCAUCAGGUCACUGGGCUGUCGACCUCGAAGGGUCAGAGGGACCCCAGCCUCUUCCCCUGCUCCUGCUUCCCAGCUAUGAUGUGAAGGGAUUGUUUCACAACACACAAUCUGCCCU